AGCGAACGCUGGCGGCAGGCUUAACACAUGCAAGUCGAGCGGGCACUUUCGGGUGUCCGCGGCGGACGGGUGAGUAACGCGUGGGAACGUGCCCUCUGGUUCGGAAUAACUCAGGGAAACUUGAGCUAAUACCGGAUACGCCCUUUUGGGGAAAGGCUUGCUGCCGGAGGAUCGGCCCGCGUUUGAUUAGCUAGUUGGUGAGGUAACGGCUCACCAAGGCGACGAUCAGUAGCUGGUCUGAGAGGAUGAUCAGCCACACUGGGACUGAGACACGGCCCAGACUCCUACGGGAGGCAGCAGUGGGGAAUAUUGGACAAUGGGCGCAAGCCUGAUCCAGCCAUGCCGCGUGAGUGAUGAAGGCCUUAGGGUUGUAAAGCUCUUUUAUCCGGGACGAUAAUGACGGUACCGGAGGAAUAAGCCCCGGCUAACUUCGUG
rnacentral:rRNA from 1 species